GAUUUUCAAUUGCAUAUUAUUAUUUCAGAUAUUGAUCAAAAAGAUGUAGAGUUACUUGACGAAAUGUGUUCCGACAUUUAUGGACCAUUAGUAAGAUUAAGUCCACCUCCAAAUGAGAAAGAUUAUCACUUUAAUCUUAGCGAAAAUGAAGGUGUUUGCGACUUGUUCGAUAUUACAGCAAAGUGAAUAGGACAUUGUAUAGUUCAAAUUUUAAGUGGUUCAUGAUUCAGAUUGUGCCAAUAAUAUUUAAGAUUCCAGGAGUUUGUUGACAAUUUCUGAAGGCUGUUCUGUGUAUAUAAUUUUAAAGAAUGGAUAUGGAUAAUGGUCACUGAA